GGGGAUUUGGUCUAGCGGUAUGAUUCUCGCUUUGGGUGCGAGAGGUCCCGGGUUCGAUCCCCGGAAUCCCCC
rfam:Guillardia theta CCMP2712 unplaced genomic scaffold GTITHscaffold_22, whole genome shotgun sequence.